UAUGUUUUAGGUCAGGGAAUAUUUGUUUUGAAUUUUAAGAUGCAAUUAUUAAUUAUUGUUCAUAGAACAGCCUUCUAUUGAAGUGUUUGCAGUUGCCCAAAAAUCUGCCAUCUGCAAAUAGCGAUCUUUUUGUUAUUCUAUGUUAAGAUAGCACAUCGCUUAUUGUCAAUAUCAGGGAGGAGAAUGAUUUUCCAUAAUAAAAA
rnacentral:lncRNA from 1 species